rnacentral:rRNA from 1 species
GACGAACGCUGGCGGCGUGCUUAACACAUGCAAGUCGAACGAAGUGGCGAACGUGUGAGUAACGCGUAAUCAACCUGCCCUUCAGAGGGGGACAACAGUUGGAAACGACUGCUAAUACCGCAUACUGAUGGAGGGGAUUGCGUCUGAUUAGCUAGUCGGAGGGGUAACGGCCCACCAAGGCGAAGAUCAGUAGCCGGUCUGAGGAGGUGAACGGCCAAAUUGGGAAUGGGGAACGGCCCAAGAUCCUACGGGAGGCAGCAGUGGGGAAUCUUCCGAAAUGGACGAAAGUCUGACGGAGCAACGCCGCGUGAGUGGUAACGGCCUUCGGGUUGUAAAGCUCUGUUAAUCGGGGCGCGGUACCGGAAUAGAAAGCCACGGCUAACUACGUGCCAGCAGCCGCGGUAAUUC